UGGGGAAUAUUGCACAAUGGGCGCAAGCCUGAUGCAGCCAUGCCGCGUGUAUGAAGAAGGCCUUCGGGUUGUAAAGUACUUUCAGCGGGGAGGAAGGGAGUAAAGUUAAUACCUUUGCUCAUUGACGUUACCCGCAGAAGAAGCACCGGCUAACUCCAUGCCAGCAGCCGCGGUAAUACGGAGGGUGCAAGCGUUAAUCGGAAUUACUGGGCGUAAAGCGCACGCAGGCGGUUUGUUAAGUCAGAUGUGAAAUCCCCGGGCUCAACCUGGGAACUGCAUCUGAUACUGGCAAGCUUGAGUCUCGUAGAGGGGGGUAGAAUUCCAGGUGUAGCGGUGAAAUGCGUAGAGAUCUGGAGGAAUACCGGUGGCGAAGGCGGCCCCCUGGACGAAGACUGACGCUCAGGUGCGAAAGCGUGGGGAGCAAACAGG
rnacentral:rRNA from 1 species